AAAGAAAAAGUGUGAAUUUUCAAGGAAAUUAAGUGAAAAAGGUGGUGAGUCAAUUGUUUCGGGUAAGAGACUGCACCCGAGGGCGGAAGAUAGGAGUAUUUCUACUCCUAAUAUUGCUCAGGACAGUUUGUAGAUAGUCGAGUAGGACGAGAACUA
rnacentral:sRNA from 1 species